AUCCCAUGGUGAGGACAGUCUGAUAUAUAAUCUUAGAAACAUUUUCAUGCCUUUAAGACAGAUUCAUCAUGUUGUUACUGAAACUCAAUCUUCCCAUGCAUAAGCAU
rnacentral:snoRNA from 1 species